UUCAGUUUCUAACUUGUACUUGGUGCAGCAAUAUUUGUUUGUUUCUCAAUUUCAGAUCUAAGUUUCUAGUUUGUAUAUUUCAUUCUAAUUGUUUAACUUUUGUUUUGCAGCCUCUGAUCGCUCUAUUUUUAACUUCUGUAUUCAGUCUGUUUCUCCAAUUCCAGUAUAAGUAAGAAACUUCAAAUUUGUUUUCAACUUGACACUACUACAGAAAGGUUUGGCAUUCUCAAAUGCCUGCCAUAAAAUUUACAUGAAGCAAAAUCUAUUCGGAUUGAAAAGUUCAAGACAAACUCAUGGAUGCUCAUAAUGAAUGUGAUGUGGCAAUACUUGUAAAGUUGUAGUUAGAUUAGAUUGUAACUUAUAGUUUAGGGCACUUGGGAAAAUAAAUAUGUGCUCAU